rnacentral:rRNA from 1 species
GACGAACGCUGGCGGCGUGCCUAAUACAUGCAAGUCGAGCGCAGGAAGCCGUCUGAACCCUUCGGGGGGACGACGAUGGAAUGAGCGGCGGACGGGUGAGUAACACGUAAAGAACCUGCCCAUAGGUCUGGGAUAACCACGAGAAAUCGGGGCUAAUACCGGAUGUGUCAUCGGACCGCAUGGUCCGCUGAUGAAAGGCGCUCCGGCGUCGCCCAUGGAUGGCUUUGCGGUGCAUUAGCUAGUUGGUGGGGUAACGGCCCACCAAGGCGACGAUGCAUAGCCGACCUGAGAGGGUGAUCGGCCACACUGGGACUGAGACACGGCCCGGACUCCUACGGGAGGCAGCAGUAGGGAAUCUUCCACAAUGGACGAAAGUCUGAUGGAGCAACGCCGCGUGAACGAUGAAGGCUUUCGGGUCGUAAAGUUCUGUUGUAAGGGAAGAACAAGUGCCGCAGGCAAUGGCGGCACCUUGACGGUACCUUGCGAGAAAGCCACGGCUAACUACGUGCCAGCAGCCGCGGUAACAC